GACUGACCUGCGGGCUAGACCAUUUAAUCCAGCCUCUCUGGAUUAAAUGCACCUGAAUGCACCUUUAAUCCAGUACUAAUGAUAUGUUAUGUGAGACUGGCACAGCAAAAAAUGACAAUUAAAUAAUCAUUAAGUGAUUUGAUAAAUGAAUAACUUUAAUCAUGAAAUUAUUAUUAUUAUCAUUAUUAUUAUUAUUAUUAUCAUUAUUGUAAUAAUAAUAAUAAUAAUAAUCGUAAUAAAAAAAUCACUCUUUAUUAUCUCUUUCCCUUACAAAUAAGUAUCAUCAGCAAAUAUCACGUCCGAAAAAGAACCACCUAACUCGACUAACAUGUAUUCAUAUAUAAUUAUUCAUAAUCAUAAAAGAUAGUUUAAUAAUAGAUUAUUAUGCAUCUUAUUUUUCUUUUUAGAUCUGACAGACUGUUGGUCAGUCUUAAUGUAUGUGAUAUGAACAGAAAUCUGACAUGGAUAUUAUUAUUUUAAAGAUAAUAUAAGGAUGAUUUAGGUAAACGCUUGUUUUUUACGGCGUACAGUAUGUAUGUACAGAGUUAUAUUUGUCAAUAGCAAAAUCUUUUUUUUAUUGUUUGCUCAAAUAAACAAUUUUUUAAUUAUCUUUUUUUUAAUUUUAUUCAAAAAUGUUCCAUUGUAGAUUCAGAAAUAAGAUUAAAAUAUUCAGAUAUAAUUCCAUACAUACUAAGCAAGUUUGAGGCCAAUGGAUUAUUACAGUUGCUGUAAAUUUUGUUGGAAAAUAGUUGACACUUGCAAAGCUGUGUGUGUGUUUAAUUGUAUUUAUAUCUUUGUGAGGUCGAACAUACAUACAAACCUAUCUCUGUGGGGACAUCUUGUAUGGGCCCCACAACUUGAAGGGUUUUUUGAGGGUUAAGACCUGGUUUUAGGGUUAGUGUUAGAAUGGGGUUUAGGUUAAGGGUUGGGGUUAGGCACUUAUGUUAGUGUAAGGGGCUAAGGAACAUAUUACGUCAAUGAUGUGUCCUCACUAAGAUAUUUAAAAACAAGUCGAUGUGUGUGUGUAACUUGCCCUUUCCAAAAUAAAGGCCUUGACAUCCCUGUGA